rnacentral:rRNA from 1 species
UACGGGGGGGGCAAGCGUUGUUCGGAAUUACUGGGCGUAAAGCGCGUGUAGGCGGCUAAGUAAGUCGGGCGUGAAAUCCCACGGCUCAACCGUGGAAGUGCACUCGAAACUGCGUAGCUAGAGUCCUGGAGAGGAAGGUGGAAUGCUUGGUGUAGAGGUGAAAUUCGUAGAUAUCAAGCGGAACACCGGUGGCGAAGGCGGCCUUCUGGACAGUGACUGACGCUGAGACGCGAAAGCGUGGGGAGCAAACAGG